CGGGUGGAUCACGAUGCAAUUUUGAUUAGUUUAGAAGGAGAAAAAUUGCACGGUAUCCAUCUGUA
rnacentral:pre_miRNA from 2 species